GACGAACGCUGGCGGCGUGCUUAACACAUGCAAGUCGAACGGAAAGGCCCUGCUUUUGUGGGGUGCUCGGGUGGCGAACGGGUGAGUAAAACGUGAGUAACCUGCCCUUGACUUUGGGAUAACUUCAGGAAACUGGGGCUAAUACCGGAUAGGAGCUCCUGCUGCAUGGGGGGGGUUGGAAAGUUUCGGCGGUUGGGGAUGGACUCGCGGCUUAUCAGGUUGUUGGUGGGGUAGUGGCUUACGAGGGCUUUGAAGGGUGGCCGGCCUGAGAGGGUGACCGGCCACAUUGGGACUGAGAUGCGGCCCAGACUCCGACGGGAGGCAGCAGUGGGGAAUAGUGCGCAAUGGGCGGAAGCCGGAUGCAGCAACGCCGCGUGCGGGAUGACGGCCUUCGGGUUGUAAACCGCUUUCGCCUGUGACGAAGCGUGAGUGACGGUAAUGGGUAAAGAAGCACCGGCUAACUACGUG
rnacentral:rRNA from 1 species